GAGGAGAUUGCUCAGAGGAGCCGGGCUGAGGCUGAGUCCUGGUACCAGACCAAGUACGAGGAGCUGCAGGUCACAGCAGGCAGACAUGGGGACGACCUGCGCAACACCAAGCAGGAGAUUGCUGAGAUUAACCGCAUGAUCCAGAGGCUGAGAUCUGAGAUCGACCACGUCAAGAAGCAGGUAUGGUGAGGGACAAUGGAGGAGAGAAGCAUUUCCUUGUCAGGUCA
rnacentral:sRNA from 1 species